GGUAGAUUUGCAUUUAAAACUAUGAGAGAGAGAGAGAGAGAGAGAGAGAGAGAGAGAGAGAGAGAGAGAGAGAGGGGUCGAUUUGUACUUAAAACUACUCAUUAAUUUCAAGUUUUGGUCUUGGAGGUGACUCGUGAAUCUGUCGAAGCUGGCCCUUAGCGUACUAACACCUGACCCACGUCUAACAACGAUAUUAAAGUUUAGAAAACAAAUGGUGGCUUUAGGACCCUCGGUAGUGGUGCGGAUCAGAUUCUAAUGAGAGAAUUUCAGCUGAAUUUCAUGUAUGUGGAACAAGAUCGUACAAAAGUGAUCUAUUUUCAUCGAUAAUUCUGUUUGUCUCUCUGACUUAAUGUAAAAAGGAUGAUUUUAGGUUGACCUUCCGUGAGAAGCAAUAGUUGUGUUUGAAAACGAUGAAAAAAUAAAUAAAUAAAAGAAAAGACUUUCUCCUGUUUGGCAUGCACUCAUGGUUUGGCAUGCACUCAUGGAUAAAAAUCGUCUGUUUUUCUUAAUCUCUGUUUUUCCUUAUUUUUCUACUUACAGAACACGACACGUGGACAACUUUAAGUGAACAGUCCCAAUGCUUGCUUGGUUGAAGCUCUACCAAAAUCGGGUUGAGGUAAGUGAACCAGACCGAGAUAGUGAGGGUGUUCGAACAUCAACGAAGCCCCCUGCAACCCUUCUUGACUUCUUCAAUCUCUGUUCUCUCUCCUACGCAUUGAUGUCGCUCUCUCUCAGUUGCCUCGAAUUAGAGAGAGAUUUCGAACAUCAAUGAAGCCCCCUGCUGGUUCUCGCGCACAUACUGGUUCGAGCACUCUAAGAAGCUUCUUACACGCUCUCCCUCUUCAUUGGUUAUCUCGAAUUACUGAGUGAUUUCGAACAUCAACGAAGCCCCUGCAACUGAUCUCGCACACUUACUGGAUUGAUGACCCUAAGAGAAAUGGAUGCACAACAACGGAUGUGUAGCUGUGGAGAGGUGAUGGUCAUCCGAACUUCUCAAAUGGCGAGGAAUCCUGGAUGAAGAUUUUACAGAUGUCCGGUAGGCGGAAAACAUCCGGGAUGUUUUAUUUGGUUGGACCCAGUAUUGUGG